rnacentral:lncRNA from 1 species
GUGUAUAUAUAUAUAUAUCUGCAUUAUCAUGCAAAGGUAGAACAAUAAAUGGCUGUUGGUACAAAUAUGUAUUCUAUUCCUCAUACAAUAUAUAAAGUUCCGCAGUGAUGUUUUGGAGUACUGAGUCAUUGAUAUAGAGAGAGAGGUCAUAUACAGAUAUAAGCUUCUCUAUUUUGAAAUUUUAGCGGUCAUAUAUAACGACUUGAGGUACUAAAACUCAAGCCCCAAAAUAUAAUUUUUCGAUUAAAAUGUUUCAACCAUACCAAAACAUAUUAAACACCAACUGGAUUUGACAAUCCAAAACACAUUCAAUUUAUACUAGAAGGACAAGUUACAACAGCUAGAUGAAAAUUUAGUGUUGCUAGUAAAUUAAAAGUUGUAACAUGGCAUAAAAAUCUAUUUUUAAUAGCAAUUAAACUACCCAAUUUUACCAAAAUAGUCAUGACACCAUAGCAAUUCAUUUAAAAAUCGAAGCUUAAAUUACUUAUAUCUAACCUUUUAAAUGAUAAGUUUUUACGAAAGUUUAAAUUGUGUAGACUCUUGAAAUAAUGUUUGUCCAUGAAUUUUCACUCCUCCCUACUUAUAAUCAACGCAUGAAACAAUAAAAUUAAGAGCUGAUCUCAGUAGUGUUCUACCAGAGUAGUUUAUAAUAACACUCAAUUUCAAGCGUUUAAAUUAGUUAACAUACAUAACAAAUAUAAUAUCAUCACACAAAAAUUACAAUCAUUUAAUGAAAAUUCAUAGUUAAACAACACUCAAAAUUAACUUUAACAAAAAUAAAUUAUGUUUUAUUCAGUCAUUUCCUCAUUAAUCAUUACAUGUGGAAGAUCAUGUCGGAUACAAGAGUAUCUAACCAAACCUCAUUAAAAUAUUUUUAAUCAUAUUAUAAUGCAUGCAACACGCAACUUACACAACUGACCCCCCUAAUGCAAAUCACAAUAAUAUGAUACUCCCGUACACUAUUAGCACCCCAUAAAACAAACUAUGAGAACAAUUUACACCUGAGCAAUUUCUAAAAACAUUUACAAGGGUCAAUAUGUGAUAACUCUUAACCAUUAUCAAUUUAUACAAUUAAUGUAAACCUCAUAUCCGAUCCAAAGUUUAAUUUGGACAUGAAAUUACUUCGGCUCCUAAGAUAACCCAAUCAUUCAAUCAUACAAUUAAUUACGUGCUCAAAUCAUCCUAACUUGCAAUUAAGCCAUUUCCAACAUAAUUGUAUCAUAUGAGCCAUCCUAUAAGUGUUUUACAAAUUCUUAACAUUUAUUUAGUAAGAAAAAUUGCUCAUAUAAGUAAAAUUUUUCAAACAAAGCCUAAAAUAAACAUAAAAGAUUCAACAAUUCAUCCAAAAAAAAAAUAGUUUUAAAAGAUAUCAACAAUUACUCAUAAAAGCACGUUUGGUUAGCAUGGAUAAUUAUUCCAUUUAUACCUUAUUCACUGUAAUAAUUUUAUUUCAUUGUUUAGUUUAAUUGAAUGAGUGAAACGGCCAGGCAAUAUUCCAAUCUCAUUUCAGCCUCUCACGGAAUACUCAUUACGUGCUAUAACUAAAGAAUAGCCACCAAAUUUUUUUUUAUUCAAAAAUACCCCAAACCAAAAAAAUCAUAUUAGCCAUAAUUUCAGUUUAUGAAUUAUAGCUAGCUAAGGAAGAAAAAUCAAGAAGAAACAAAAAUUGAAACCCAAUCAUUACAAUUAAAUGCUUUCGCAACUUAGAAUUCAUCCAACAAUGCUAUUUUCACAGAAUUAAUAUAAGGUCUCCUUCACUCUGACAUGUUUUAAACCCAGUAAUGAAAUUUUAAAAAAUAAAACAAAACAAAACAACCCAAAUCAGAAAGAAAAAAAAAUUGUGACAGACAAUGGGAGAAUAAAAGGGGGAGAUUUGCAUGUAUGGAUCUAUAGAUUUUGUUGAGCUUUUAAGACAAACUAAACAAAAAAAUUGAAAGAGGAGACGGAGAUAAAGCUUUGGAGAGAAAGAUACAUGAGAAAAAAAAAGCGGACUAGAGGGAAAAAAGAUAAAGAAAAAGAGAGAACUAGAUAAAGCUCUAGAGAAAAGAAAGAGAUAAAAUCUCCAGAAGGCUCUAAUGGUUUUAACAUCAAU